CCUACGGGUGGCAGCAGUGAGGAAUAUUGGUCAAUGGACGAGAGUCUGAACCAGCCAAGUAGCGUGAAGGAUGACGGCCCUAUGGGUUGUAAACUUCUUUUAUAGGGGAAUAAAAUGUUCCACGUGUGGGAUGUUGUAUGUACCAUAUGAAUAAGGAUCGGCUAACUCCGUGCCAGCAGCCGCGGUAAUACGGAGGAUCCGAGCGUUAUCCGGAUUUAGUGGGUUUAAAGGGAGCGUAGGUGGCUUGUUAAGUCAGUUGUGAAAGUUUGCGGCUCAACCGUAAAAUUGCAGUUGAAACGGGCAGUCUUUCGUUCACUCGCGGUGGGCGGUAUUCGUGGUGUAGCGG
rnacentral:rRNA from 1 species